rnacentral:snRNA from 1 species
AUCGCUUCUAGGCCUUUUGGCUAAGAUCAAGCGUAGUAUCUGUUUCAUGUAAUUAGACUUAUACAGAAAUUAGAAGGUUAAGUAACAACUAGUUAAUCACCUAAUUUCACAGCUAUCUGAAAUCGUUAUAUAGCAGCUUAUCUAU